UCUAUCAACACUCCAAGCAUGAAAAAAUAAAUAACUCAUCUGUUCAUUUUCUGUUAUUGUUUGGUUUCAGGCAUCAUACGCCAAAAGGAGUUGUUUCAAAAUGUCCCUGUUUGUGAUGUCACAACAUUGGAAAUGUGCAUAGAACCACCUCUCAUGUGCAAGAGAGAGAACAGCUGCUGCUGGAAGAGUUGCAGAUCAUUUUCGAACCCCUCCUGAAUUUCGGAGCUUCUCAGCUUAUAGCAGCCUGGGUGGGGGAUGGGUGAUCAUGGCCAGCUCCAACUUGAUUUUCUAAAGCGGCAGAGCCCUGGAACGGCUCAUUCUGAAAGGUAGUGAAAAUGUCAAGUAUAAAACAGUUGACUUGGUUUCAUGUGAGAGGGGGUUUAUGCGAAGAACUUUGCAAAGUCUAUUUUAUAUGUUAUUUGAAAAAUUGAGGCUUUUGAGAAGAAAGAACUAUUAUUAUUCUCACUGAAAUAAUUAAUAUAGAGAAGGUGAUGAAGCUUAAUUAACUAUCAAAUAACUUCCAGCCAUUAAGGCUUUAAAGAAAAGAUCUGAUGACUUUAUUAGGCUGUGUAGAACAUUUGUAAAUUCUAAGAUUAACAAUAAGAAUGAAGGAAUUUCGAUAUAAUCGCAACCACAGCUGCCCAGAGAUUCAAUGUCCUUCCAGCAACUGAGUCAGCAAGACCUAUUGUGCAACAAAAGCUGCGAACAAGAUGUACGGGGGUGGGAAAAGAGGAAAUCUGGUGUCCAUUAGGAGCAAUUUUAUGACGUAGAGAGUAAGAGGCAAAAGCUAUAAAUAGAAAAUGAUGCAUGUUGACAAAACAACAGUGGACUGUUAAAAACCGCUGAAAGUAAAGGUGAGCAUUUUUAGUUAACAUUUUUCUGAAUUGCAAAUGCAGAAUUCUGAGGGUUUCUUUUAAAACUGGAAAACUUGCACAAUUAAACCCUUUUUGAUAGAAUUAAGUUCUGAUUGUUUGAUUUAUUGUCUGUGGCAUAAUAAAAUCAGUAAAUUAGAAAUAUAACAAAAUAGGUCAAAUCGAGAUGUGUCUGGAAAAGAAGCAUCACAAGUUCUUGCAUCUGAAGGCCCUGAAGCUGUGUGCAGUUUGGUGGAACUAUUACAGUGAUGUGGCCGAUGAAAGGGAGGCACACAAGGAAGGGGGAGGGGAGAGGAGGAGGGGUGAGAGACUUUAACAGAGAGAGGGAGAGAGAGAGAGAGAGAGAAGAAAGGAGAAACGUAGCUUUUCUCCACCAGCAAGUCAUUUCUGUCUUUGGCUGUGCUUGCGCCCCAGCUGCCGCUGGUUCAAAGUACGGUCACUGGCAGGGAACCAGCCAUAAGGCUGCAAAAAUCACUCACUCAGCCACUUCACACGCACACAAGGAAGCAAAAAGAAACAGAAUGUCUUUGGCACAAAUGAACGUCUCAGACUUGAGUCCAGAACUGCAUAGCUUAGACAUCAAAACCAAUGGGAACUUUUAAUUCACAUUGCAUUCUUUAAUGGGUAGAUGAAAAGUUAAUGCUUGGUCAGUCAGUUAAGUAGCACACUUAUUAACUCCAGGGUUGGUGGAGAAAAGAACGCUAAAUCUAAUCAUGCUCACUGUAAAAAUGUAGCAAAAAGACAUCUAUUCUUGAGUGUGUUCAUGAGCCAAACCUGCAGCAAAUGCAUCAAAGCAAACCAAGCAAAGCAAACAAAAAACUGAAACAUAUUAAUCCUAUGUUGACUCUUAGACCUUGGAUCAUAUCCACCUUUUGACGUCGGUGACGUGUGUAAUGGUCCACUGAGUCUGCAUCUGAUUUUCUCAUUCAGCACAGAACUAGUGUGUGUUUAUGGUGCAUGAGACCCAUGUGCAUGCAUACAUGUUCUAAUUCACGGCUGUGCAGACAUGCAUGCACGUCAGCCGAUGACCUCGACAGGACCGUUUUCCUCUCGGACGUGACAGGGCCAGAGUUCCUGCAGCUACUGUUUGACAUCCCCAUGUCAGCGCUGAUAGAGUGUUCUGUUUUUGUGUUUUGGUGGAUGUCCAGGUGCAGAAAGGGAGACGUGAGCAGCAGGGCGGGGUCCAGUGCUCAAGUAUCGCAACAACAGAGGACAGCUCUGCAAAAAAAUUUGACCAAAACAGCUGGAAAAUCCUGAGGCAUCAAGCUGUGAGUGACGCAUUGCAUUUACCAGCAAGGCCCAGAGGGAGUUUGAGACAGAAAGAGUUGUUUCCAGUUCCAUGCCCAGGUCCUUUCCUGCUGAUGCUAAUGCUGGCGGAGAAACCAGCUAGCUUCCUGGACUCGGUGAUCAACAAAAGACUGUGCGGUUACACCUGCUGGAGUUAUACCUGCAGCCUGGUGGGGAAGUAAAGGCAUAUCUUAAAUCUACUGAUGGAUGAUGGAAACACAAUGGGCUCAGAAAUUAAUUAUCUAUUAAGUGUCUAGAACAGGGGUGUCAAACUCAUUUUAGCUCAGGGGCCACAUUGAGGAAAAUCUAGUCCCAAGUGGGCCGGACCGGUAAAUUAAAAACAACUUCAGAUUUUUUUCUUUGUUUUAAUACAAUCAAUAUAAAACAAGGCUGGAGCCUGAGGACAGUGUAUCCAAAAUAGUACAAGUACAACACCUGAAGUGUACUUGAAAAUUUGAAAAAAAUAAAAAUAAAAAUCAAUCAAUAAAUAAAAACAUUCCUUCGUGAUUCAAAGAGCUUACAGAUCACAUGGCUAGAUCAGUUUCAUGCAGCACUUACAGUAUAUUUGACUCAUUUUACUUUACAUCUUUGAGCUUUCACCAGCACAUCAAUAUCAGAAGUCACAUCCUGAGUGUGAGCCUUGAGCGCAGCUUUGUUUUAUUUAUAUUCAUUACAGAGGAAACUUGCUCACAAUGAUAAGUUUAUUUUCACUCUUCAUUGUAAAGUAUGAAAAUAAAGUUUACACAACCAUCUCGCGGGCCGGAUUUAACCCGCUUGUGGGCCAGAUCCGGCCCGCGGGCCGGAUAUUUGACACCCCUGGUUUAGAUCAAUGUAGGUAAGGUCAGCUUCAUAAGAAGAGACAGGGU